GCCCAGCUAGCUCAGUUGGUAGAGCAUGAGACUUUUAAUCUCAGGGUCGUGGGUUCAAGUCCCACGUUGGGCA
rnacentral:tRNA from 1 species